AGAGUUUGAUCCUGGCUCAGAACGAACGUUGAUGGCGUGCCUCAUACAUGCAAGUCGAGCGGAGUAGCAAUACUCAGCGGCGGACGGGUGAGUAACACGUAAACAAUCUGCCCUGAAGCGGGGAAUAACUAUCCCAACGGAUAGCUAAUACCGCAUAAUGAUGGAGACGGCAUCGUCUUUUCUCAAAAGGCUUCGGCCACUUCAGGAUGAGUUUGCGUCCCAUUAGCUUGUUGGCGGUGUAAUAGACCACCAAGGCGACGAUGGGUAUCCGGCCUGAGAGGGUGUACGGACACAUUGGGACUGAGAUACGGCCCAGACUCCUACGGGAGGCAGCAGUAGGGAAUUUUGCGCAAUGGAGGAAACUCUGACGCAGCAACGCCAUGUGUGGGAUGAAGCAUUUCGGUGUGUAAACCACUGUCAGCGGGGAAUAAAUGGUCGCUUCGGCGGCAGUUGAAUGUACCCGCAAAGGAAGCCCCGGCUAACUUCGUGCCAGCAGCCGCGGUAAUACGAGGGGGGCAAAUGUUGUUCGGAAUCACUGGGCGUAAAGGGAGCGUAGGCGGGCUCUUAAGUUAGGUGUUUAAUCCCGGGGCCCAACCCCGGACAGGCACUUAAAACUGGGAGUCUUGAAUAGUGGAGAGGUCGGCGGAAUUGGGGGGUGUAGCGGUGGAAUGCGUAGAGAUCCCCAAGAACACCAGUUGCGAAGGCGGCCGACUGGACACAUAUUGACGCUGAGGCUCGAAAGCAUGGGGAGCAAACAGGAUUAGAUACCCCAGUAGUCC
rnacentral:rRNA from 1 species